GACGAACGCUGGCGGCGUGCUUAACACAUGCAAGUCGAACGGAUAGGCCCUGCUUGCCGGGUACUCGAGUGGCGAACGGGUGAGUAACACGUGGGUGAUCUGCCCUGCACUUCGGGAUAAGCUUGGGAAACUGGGUCUAAUACCGGAUAGGAACCAUCUUUAGUGUGGUGGUUGGAAAGUUUUUUCGGUGUAGGAUGAGCUCGCGGCCUAUCAGCUUGUUGGUGGGGUAAUGGCCUACCAAGGCGGCGACGGGUAGCCGGCCUGAGAGGGUGUACGGCCACAUUGGGACUGAGAUACGGCCCAGACUCCUACGGGAGGCAGCAGUGGGGAAUAUUGCACAAUGGGCGCAAGCCUGAUGCAGCGACGCCGCGUGGGGGAUGAAGGCCUUCGGGUUGUAAACUCCUUUCGCUAGGGACGAAGCUUUUUGUGACGGUACCUAGAGAAGAAGCACCGGCUAACUACGUG
rnacentral:rRNA from 1 species